CGUGUAGGCGGUCAGGUAAGUGGAAUGUGAAAUGCCCCGGCUCACCCGGGGACCGGCAUCCCAAACUGCCUGGCUUGAGUAUGGAAGAGGAUGGAGGAAUUCCUGGUGUAGCGGUGAAAUGCGUAGAUAUCAGGAGGAACACCGGUGGCGAAGGCGUCCAUCUGGCCCAAUACUGACGCUGAGGCGCGAAAGCUAGGGGAGCAAACGG
rnacentral:rRNA from 1 species